rnacentral:rRNA from 1 species
UUAUUUGAAACGGGGCACAACCCCUGAUACCGGGUUUAUCUAGAUAUACUAAACAAAGUGGGCCUAAAAGCAGCCACCUUCCAAAGAGCGUUAAAGCUUAACGUACCAAUGUCUACAAUUCCAUAAUUUUUACUUAACCCUUCAUUACUACUGAACUAUUUUAUACUCUAUAAAAGCUAUUAUGCUAGAACUAGUAACAAGAAAUUGCCUUUCUCCUCAAUGUAUGUUUGAACCAAAAUGGACCCUCCACUGGUAACUAACGCAAAUGUAAAUAUCAUAGUACCACACGACUAGAAAAUCCUAUGUUUACCCAACGUCAACCUUACACUAGAACAUUACAGGAAAGAUUAAAAGAGAGAGAAGGAACUCGGCAAAUCACAGUCCCGCCUGUUUACCAAAAACAUCGCCUCUUGCCUAGACAUAAGAGGUCCAGCCUGCCCAGUGACAUAGUUUAACGGCCGCGGUACCCUAACCGUGCGAAGGUAGCAUAAUCACUUGUUCUUUAAAUAGGGACUCGUAUCAACGGCAUCACGAGGGCUGUACUGUCUCCUUUCUCCAAUCAGUGAAACUGAUUUCCCCGUGAAGAAGCGAGGAUAAACCU